rnacentral:lncRNA from 1 species
CGUGAUGCACAUGUAUCCACCAAAUUUAGGAGUUCGGCUGUCGGCCCCUGCUCUUAAAGGUCGUGCACGACAAUGAUUGUUAGUAGAGAAAAAAUCAGUAAUAGAUGAUAAAUAUGUAUAAAAAAUAAUAUUUUAUGGUUGUAUUAGGGUAUAAAGGAAGAAUUUAGAGAAAACCGAUGCAGUAGAUUAAAAAGUAUGGGUAAAAUCUUGACGACACGGUACAAAAUUGAGAUAUAGGAGGGAAUUUGUGGAAAACUAUUAGGCCUCGUUUAUUUCGUUGGAAUUGAAUUCCAUUUUAAUAAUUAUAAUUUAGACAAAACUAAUUAAGUUCAUAUAUUUAAAUAUGUAAUAUAUUUGUAUAUUAUCCUAAAUUAUAUGAGAUAGAUAGUUAUUGUCAGCGUUUCGACCCCGGGGGGUCCCUGGACCGACGAGUAAAUUGUCGCCGCGUGCCCCAGCCCAGAUGGGUCGGCGCGAGACGGAGCGCGAAGGGGGGAGAAAGCCGGAGGGAGACAGGCGUAAAAGAGGAAACCCACGGCCUUCGUGUUUGUCUCGCGCCCAGGUCGGGUGCGCUUGCAGUAGGGGGUUACAAGCGUCCGCGCGGGAGGGAGUGAGAGGCUUACGCGCGCGCCGUCCCGUCCUUCCCCGCGCGGCCAACCCUCUGUAAGAGGGCCCUGGACCUUCCUUUUAUAGGCGUAAGGAGGGGGUCCAGGUGUACAAUGGGAGGUGUAGCAGUGUGCUAACGUGUCUAGCAGAGAAGAGCUAGUGCCCUAAGUACAUGCCGUCGUGGCAGCCGGAGAGGUUUUGGCACCCUGUUCGUGUGGUAUCGUGGCCGUCGGAGGAGCGCGGGAGCCUGGCGGAAGGACAGCUGUCGGGGCUGUCGAGUCCUUGCUGACGUCUCCUUGCUUCUGUAAGGGGGUUGAGAGCCGCCGUCGUCAUGGAGCAUGCGGGGCGCCAUCAUUACUUAUUUACCGAGGCGAGCCAGAUGGGACGCCGGUCUUGUUCCCCGUAGCCUGAGUUAGCUUGGGGUAGGGUAAUGAUGGCCCCUCCUGUGACGUGGUCGGUCCGAGCCCUGGGUAGGGCGAGGCAGAGGCUCCUCCGAGGUCGAGGUCGAGUCUGUCUUUCGAGGUCGAGGUCGAGUCCGAGCCCUUGGGUCGGGCGAGACGGAGACCGUCGGCUGAGGCCGAGGUCGAGUCCGAGCCCUGGGUCGGGCGAGGCGGAGUUCGUCGUCUUCCGAGGCCGAGGCCGAGUCCGAUCCCUGGGUCGGGCGAGGCGGAGUUCGUCGUCUUCCGGGGCCGAGGCCGAGUUCGAGCCCUGGGUCGGGCGAGGCGGAGUUCGUCGUCUUCCGGGGCCGAGCCAGAGUCCGAGCCCUGGGUCGGGCGAGGCGUAGCUUCCUAUGGCGCCUGAAGCCGAACUUGGCCGCUGUCAGCUUCACUCUGUCGAGUGGCACAACAGUCGGAGCGACGCGGGCGGCGCUGUCUUCUUGUCAGACUGGUCAGUGGAGCGGCGAAGUGACUGCGGUCACUUCGGCUCAGUCGACUGAAGGGUGUGUGUCAGGAUAAGGUGUCAGGACACCUUUGCAUUAAAUGCUCCUGCGAUACGGUCGAUCGUCGUGGCGAUUUGGCCAAGGUUGCUUCUUGGUGAAGACUGAGCCUCGGGCGAGCCGAAGGUGUGUCCGUCGCUUGAGGGGGCCCUCAGGCGAGACGUGAAUUCUCCGGGGUCGGCUGCCCUUGCCCGAGGCUAGGCUCGGGCGAGGCAAGAUCGUGUCCCUUGGGUGGACCGAGCCUUGACUUAAUCGCACCCAUCAGGCCUUUGCAGCUUUGUGCUGAUGGGGGUUACCAGCUGAGAUUUAGGAGUCUUAGGGGUACCCCUAAUUAUGGUCCCCGACAGUAGCCCCUGAGCCUCAAAGGGAGUGUUAAUACUCGCUUGGAGGCUUUUGUCGCACUUUUUUGCAAGGGGACCGGCCUUUCUUGGUUGCGUUUUGUUCCGGUGGGUGCGCGCGAGCGCACCCGCCGGGUGUAGCCCCCGAUGCCUCGGAGGAGUGGUUUGACUCCUUCGAGGUCUUAAUGCGUUUCGCGAUGCUUCGGCCGGUCUGGUUGUUCCCUCAUGCGAGCUGGCCGUAGCCCGGGUGCACGGUCGGGUCCCAAGUUCUCAGGCUGGUAUGUUGACGCUGUCAACGGUUUGGCCGGAGCCGGAUUUGCGAGAGCAGCCCCCGAGCCUCCGCACAGAGCGAGAGAACAGUCAAGGACAGACUCGACUUUUUACAUAUGCCCCUGCGUCGCCUUUCCGCAAGGAGGAGGGGGGAAAAGCGCCAUGUUGCCCUUGGAGGGCGCCGAACAUGGUGUCUCCAGUGAGCUGCUAACGGGUAAUCCGAGUGGACGCCCGUGCCCCAUUUGUUAGGGGUCGGCUAGAGGUCCGGAGGCGCGCUCCAAAAGUACUUGCGGGUGAUUUGCCGGACCCAGUCCCCUUUUGACUGGGUCCGAGGGCUCGAUGCCUCCCUUUGAUGGGAUUCCGUUACAAAAUCGUUCCCGUUGGUCUCGGAAAUGUCCUAGGGUACCUCGGGAGCGUAGCCCGAGCCUUGGUUAUGUAUCGAACGUACCCAGGGUCAUCCCUCGCUCUGCGUCUGAAGCGGCUGUGAACCCUUCGAGGGCCAGCCUACGAACCCCUGAUCAGUAGUGGGCGCGGAGCCCGAGUGGCCUGAGGCGGCCGUUGAACCAUUCCGAGGGGCCGGCCUUCGAACCUCUGACCAGUAGCGGGCGCGGAGCCCGAGCGCUCUGAGGCGGCUGUUGAACCCCUCCGAGGGGCCAGCCUUCGAACCUCUGAUCAGUAGGGGGGCUCGGGGCCCGUUUCCUUCGCGGAGAAGGAUCCCUUUCGGGGUAUCCCCUUUCCUGGUCCCUGUUGUAAGAGAGAGAAAGAGGAAGAGCAAAAGGAUACGAAAUCGAAUGACGUGGCACACCUUUUUUUGACGCGGUCAUUAUGGCGGAAACAAAGCGUCGCCUGCUUCGCCCGCCAACGGUGCCGCCCGUCCUGCCGCAGAGUUAAUGCGACGGGACGAAUGGUUCGCGGGGCAGCCGUUGCGCGUGCGCGAGCCGUUCGAGGAACGGAACACGGGCGCGCCGUCUUCACGCCGUGGGAGAGGGUUCUCUCGCUGUCCCAGGAGGGGACGUGAGCUUGGCUGACGACGUGACCGCUGCUUCCGCCCGCCUGCCACCGCCAUUACUGUCGGCCCAUUUCUGGCCGUAUCGACCGUCGCGCCUUCUCCCGCGGCUGACUGACCCAUGACCGAUGUGCCUGGCUGGCACUGUUGGGUCAUACGCAGGGUUGCCUCGAGUCGCGGUACUGGUUCCGCAGUCGAGGAGGCACGGUAGUGGCGCGAGUGGCGGCGCAGUUCCUUGCACGUAGCAACCGGCGCGUCGGUUGCAUGACGCGUGGGCCUGGGCCCCCAUGCUGGGCGCGUUGGAGUCGAAAGGGUGCGCCCACUUGGUGCGGUUGCAUGCCGCCUGCACGGCGGUCCGCCCUUUUACCCGCUGGUCUGGGCGAAAGUGGAGGAAUGCUUGUAACCACUGGGCAGUUGCGCGCACCGCGCGCGGCGGUUUGGCUUCUUCUGCCCUAGGCCAGCUUGCAUGACACGUGGGACCCAGCCCCCGUGUCGUAGGGGGAGGACCUUGGAUCGUGUUGCAGAAGACUCAGCCCGCGAUGGCUGAGGACGCAAGUGGGGAGAGUCGCCUUUAAAAGGAGGGUGACCCCCUUGAAAGGCAACCAUGUCUUUGCGCUCCCCUCAUGCAUCGUGUCUUUCCACCUUCAGAGCCCCCGGAUGGGGGACACUCGCAGUUCUUCUGCCUUGUCGUCGGAGGAACGCAACUUCGUGGAAGUUGGUACCUUUCAGCCAUCGUUCGGCUUCAAGAAUUUUCAUCAGGCAGCCCGGCCGCAUCCCCUCGCCGACGGUCACCCAAGACGGUGACCACCAGCUCCUGGGUGAGGAGAAGCAAACCGGGCUGCGGCCUCUGCCCCUCCCUCAGCUUCAAGGAUGUUCAUCAUCAGUGCUGGGAGGGGAGUGCGCCAAGUUGGGGUCGGUCUCCGCGCGGGCAGCGGCCCGCUCCUUCCCUCAGCGAUCGGGGGAAGGGCGUUCGCCGUUCGUGGCGCCGGCAGCUGCCGUGUGUCUGGCUCUCCGGUCCGAGCGGCUUCGGCGCUGCUUCCGGUGCCACCUUCCGCCGCGGCAGCCGGAAGAGGUUUCUCCGCCGACGAGAUAGUUGGUGCCGCCCGCGGACUGACCUCCAACUCUACGGCCUUCUGCUCGUCCUCGCCCCUCGAGUGGGGACGUGGGCGAAGGCCUUAUGGCAGCAGCAUCCGCCCUGAGGUCAUCGCUGCUGCUGUUCGGCCGCUCGGAGCAGAAGUCGUCGUCGCCGCUGCUAGAGCGGGCGACGGUGAGCCAUCCGUCGGCCUUCUGUUGCUCCGUAGGCCCUCCAAUCGUGGGGGGUUGUUCGUACCUGCGGAGGUGGAACCGGAGUUCCGUUUGUAAUGGCACCUUGAGUGCCGGUGUCUUGUUCAUUGUGGUUGUUGAGGCCUGAACAUGUAUGUAUUUUCGGCAUGGAGCCAUGUUUUUUCCUCAUUUCGAGCACUAGGACUCGCCUGUCGGCUAACUGAACCGCUUAACCAAGUGUGAGUUGCCUCGUGCGAAGGUGACGAGUGAGGUAUCUGUAUCCCGGAGGCGUAGGAGUCCCUCGGCUCGGUCGGCCUUGCCGCCCGAGGCUUCUCUUGCUUAGUUAAAGGAAAUCCUCAGCCGCUCUUCGAUGAGCCGAAGCCGGAGGCAGCGGUGUCAGCAUGGACAAAGGCAGAGUUGGCUCGAAAAGAAGAUUUUUGGUCGGCCAGAGCCUGGCCGGGCCGUCCACUGGUGGGACCGUCGCCGGAGUCGAGUUGCCGAGGCCACGAGCCGGGCUGAUGUCCUCGGGGGACAGCUGGCUGAGACUCUAGGGUGGCCGGCCGAGCUGUCUGCUCGAGCCGGAUUCCUGGAUGAGACCCUGGCGGCGAUGGCCCGGGCGCGGUGCUGAUGUCGUCCUUCGGAGCGGAGAUCCUCCGACCGCGUUGCCGUCCGAGGCUCGAUCGGACUUUGUCGAAGGUGUGGUUGACGCCGAGGGUGCUGCUGCUCCCCCUCCGUCAAGGUCCGAGCCUGCAGGAUCGGUUUAUCUUGUAGUGUGCGUAUGUUUUCUGCGGCCGCCGAGGCCCAAACACACUGUUGUCGUGUUUGUAAAGUUGUGUUUCUUUUCCUCUUGUUUUGAGUGUCUGGACUUAUUUGUCGGUAACAGAAUUGUUUGUCCGAGCGAGAGUUACUUUUCACGGAAGGUGAUGAGUGAGGUAUCCGUAUCCCGGAGGCGUAGGAGUCCCUCGGCUCGGUCGGCCUUGCCGCUUACGUGUACUCUUACUCGUCCGUAGGAUUCUGCUAUCGAUAUAGUCGAGAAGGCCCGAAAAAUUGUUUCGGCAGAAGAGUUUUCGAGCGUGAAGACUUGUUCGGUCCGCGGAGUCACCUAUCCGAGCGUGAGUUACUUAUCGCAGAAGGUGAUGAGUGAGGUAUCCGUAUCCCGGAGGCGUAGGAGUCCCUCGACUCGGUCAGCCUUGGCUGCUUACGUGUACUCCGUCGUUUUCAGGAUCCCACUUUCGAAGUAGUCGAAAAGCACGAAAGACGUUCUGGCAGAAAAGAUCUUUUUCGAGGAAAAUUUUGACGCGGAGGGGGUUCCCCCCUUCUAGCCCCCGAGGGAGGGUCGGGCUUUGCCGAGGCAAGGCUGACCCUUCCUUGAUGGUUAGACUUUGUGUGUGAACGAGGUGUACGAACAACUUGAAAGCAUCUUAAGGGUAGAAACGACGUAGCUGUCGGAUGUUCCAAGCAUUGCUGUAGACCUCGCCUUGACUGUUGGCCAGUUUGUACAUCCCGGGCUUCAAAACCUUGGCGAUGACGAACGGCCCCUCCCAGGGAGGCUUGAGCUUGUGCCGCCCUCGGGCGUCUUGUCGCAGUCGAAGCACCAAGUCGCCCACCUGGAGGUCUCGGGACCGAACCCCUCGGGCAUGGUAGCGUCGCAGGGACUGCUGGUACCGCGCCGAGUGUAGUAGGGCCAUGUCCCGAGCCUCUUCUAGCUGGUCCAGUGAGUCUUCUCGGUUAGCUCGAUUGCUUUGGUCGUCGUAGGCCCUCGUCCUCGGGGAACCAUAUUCUAAGUCUGUGGGCAAGAUGGCCUCGACCCCAUAGACUAGAAAGAACGGUGUGAAGCCUGUGGCUCGGCUCGGCGUUGUCCUCAGACUCCAGACCACCGAGGGGAGCUCCCUCAUCCAUCGCUUGCCGAACUUGUUGAGGUCGUUGUAGAUCCGCGGCUUGAGCCCUUGCAGAAUCAUGCCGUUGGCACGCUCCACUUGCCCAUUCGUCAUGGGGUGAGCCACGGCGGACCAGUCCACCCGGAUGUGGUGAUCCUCACAGAAGUCCAGGAACUUUCUGCCAGUGAACUGGGUGCCAUUGUCGGUGAUGAUGGAGUUCGGGACCCCAAAACGAUGGAUGAUGUCGGUGAAGAACGCCACCGCCUGUUCGGACCUGAUGCUGUUUAGGGGUCGGACCUCGAUCCACUUGGAGAAUUUGUCGAUGGCGACCAGCAGGUGCGUGUAGCCCCCGGGUGCCUUCUGCAAGGGACCGACGAGGUCCAUCCCCCACACAGCAAACGACCAGGUGAUGGGUAUCGUCUGCAGGGCCUGAGCGGGCAAGUGUGUCUGCCUCGCAUAGAACUGACACCCUUGGCAGGUGCGGACAAUUCUAGUGGCGUCGGCCACCGCGGUCGGCCAGUAGAAACCUUGUCGGAAGGUGUUUCCAACAAGGGCUCGAGGCGCUGCGUGAUGGCCGCAAGCCCCCGAGUGUAUUUCUUGUAAGAGCUCCUGGCCUUCGGUGAUGGAUAUGCAUCGCUGGAGGAUGCCUGAGGGGCUGCGGUGGUAGAGCUCCUUCCCGUCCCCCAGCAAGACGAACGACUUGGCGCGCCGCGCCUGAAAGGGAAUUAGGCUUACACCUAUUUCCUAAAUGAUUUUGGUGGUUGAAUUGCCCAACACAAAUAAUUGGACUAACUAGUUUGCUCCAGUGUAUAAGUUAUACAGGUGCCAAAGGUUCACAACUUAGCCAAUAAAAAGACCAAGAAUUGGGUUCAACAAAGGAGCAAAGGGAUAACCGAAGUGUGCCCUGGUCUGGCGCACCGGACAGUGUCCGGUGCACCAGGGGACUUCACGCUGAACUCUUCACCUUCGGGAAAAUCCAGAGGCGCUCCGCUAUAAUUCACCGGACUGUCCGGUGUACACCGGACAUUGUCCGGUGCCCCAGGGAAGAGCGGCUCUGGAACUCGCCAGCCUCGGGAAUUCGCUCCGCUAUAAUUCACCGGACUGUCCGGUGAGCCAGCGGAGCAACGGCUACUUCGCGCCAACGGUCACCUGCAGGCGCAUUUAAUGCGCGCCAGAAGCGCGCAGAAGUCAGGCACGCGCGAGACGGUGCACCAGACAAUCUACAGUACUUGUCCGGUGUACACCAGACAGCCAGGCGGGCCCAGAAGUCAGAAGCUCCAACGGUCGAAUCCCAACGGCCUGGUGACGUGGCUGGCGCACCGAACUGUCCGGUGCACCAUACGACAGUCAGCCACCACCAAACGGCUAGUUUGGUGGUUGGGGCUAUAAAUACCCCCAACCACCCCACAUUCAAGUCAUCCAAGUUUUCCCACUUCAACUACUUACAAGAGCUCUAGCAUUCAAUUCUAGACACACCCAAGUGAUCAAAUCCUCUCCAAACUCCACACAACGCCCUAGUGAUUAGUGAGAGAGAUUUGCUUGUGUUCUUUCGAGCUCUUGCGCUUAGAUUGCUUUCUUCUUUCUUUGAUUCUUCAUUGCGAUCAAACUCACUUGUAAUUAAGGCAAGAGACACCAAUCUUGUGGUGGUCCUUGUGGGAACUUUGUGUUCCAAGUGAUUGAGAAGAAAAGCUCACUCGGUCCGAGGGACCGUUUGAGAGAGGGAAAGGGUUGAAAGAGACCCGGUCUUUGUGACCACCUCAAUGGGGAGUAGGUUUGCGAGAACCGAACCUCGGUAAAACAAAUCCAUGUGUCUCACUCCUUAUUCGCUUGCGAUUUGUUUUCCACCCUCUCUCGCGGACUCGAUUAUAUUUCUAACGCUAACCCGACUUGUAGUUGUGAUUAUUUUUGAGAAUUUCAGUUUCGCCCUAUUCACCCCCCCUCUAGGCGACUUUCAAUUGGUAUUAGAGCCCGGUGCUUCAUUAGAGCCUAACCGCUCGAAGUGAUGUCGGGAGAUCACGCCAAGAAGGAGAUGGAGACCGGCGAAAAGCCCACUACAAGCAACGAGAAAGCUCUAUCGGGAGAGUCCCGCAACAAGGAGAAGAAGAAGGAAAAGAAGACUUCUUCCCACAAGUCGCAUCGAAGUGGCGACAAAAUAAAGAAGAUGAGGAAGGUGGUCUACUACGAGAUCGACACUUCAUCACCUUCUACCUCCGGCUCCGACGCACCCUCCAUAACUUCUAAGCGCCAUGAGCGCAAGAAGUUUAGUAAGAUCCCCUUACAUUAUCCUCGUACUUCUAGACAUACUCCAUUACUUUCCGUUCCAUUAGGAAAACCGCCAACCUUUGACGGUGAAGAUUAUGCUAGGUGGAGUGAUUUAAUGAAAUUUCAUCUAACCUCACUCCACAAAAGUAUAUGGAAUGUUGUUGAGUUUGGAGCACAGGUACCAUCCGCAGGGGAUGAGGAUUAUGAUGAGGACGAGGUGGCCCAAAUCGAGCACUUCAACUCCCAAGCCACAACCAUACUCCUCACCUCUCUAAGUAGGGAGGAGUACAACAAGGUGCAAGGACUAAAAAACGCCAAGGAAGUUUGGGACGUGCUCAACACGGCGCACGAGGGUGAUGAACUCACCAAAAUCACCAAGCGGGAAACGAUCGAGGGGGAGCUCGGUCGCUUCCGUCUUCGCCAAGGGGAGGAGCCACAAGAUAUGUACAACCGGCUCAAGACCUUGGUGAAUCAAGUGCGCAACCUCGGGAGCAAAAAGUGGGAUGACCACGAGAUGGUUAAGGUUAUUCUAAGAUCUCUUAUUUUCCUUAACCCUACUCAAGUACAAUUAAAUUCGCGGCAAUCCAAGAUAUACACUAAUGACUCCCGAGGAAGUAAUCGGGAAUUUUUUGAGCUUUGAAUUUAUGAUCAAGGGCUCACGAAAGAUCAACGAGCUUGACGGCCCCUCCACGUCCGACGCACAACCGGUCGCAUUUAAGGCGACGGAGGAGAAGAAGGAGGAAUCUACACCAAGUAGACAACCAAUCGACGCCUCCAAGCUCGACAAUGAGAAAAUGGCGCUCGUCAUCAAGAGCUUCCGCCAAAUCCACAAACAAAGGAGGGGGAAGGACUACAAACCCCGCUCCAAGAAAGUGUGUUACAAAUGUGGUAAGCCCGGUCAUUUUAUUGCAAAAUGUCCUAUAUCUAGUGACAGGGGCGACGACAAGAAGGGAAGAAGAAAGGAGAAGAAGAGAUACUACAAGAAGAAGGGCGGCGAUGCCCAUGUUUGUCGUGAGUGGGACUCCGACGAAAGCUCUAGCGACUCCUCCGACGACGAGGACGCCGCCAACAUCGCCGUCACCAAGGGCUUUCUCUUCCCCAACGUCGGCCACAAAUGCCUCAUGGCAAAGGACGGCAAAAAGAAGAAGGUUAAAACUAAAUCCUCCACUAGAUAUGAAUCUUCUAGUGAUGAAAAUGCUAGUGAUGAGGAAGAUAACUUACGCACUCUUUUUGCCAACCUAAACAUGCAACAAAAAGAAAAGUUAAAUGAAUUAAUUAGUGCCAUCCAUGAGAAGGAUGACCUCUUGGACACCCAAGAGGACUUUCUAAUCAAGGAAAAUAAAAAGCAUGUUAAGGUUAAAAAUGCUUAUGCUCUAGAAGUUGAAAAAUGUGAAACAUUAUCUAGUGAGCUAAGCACAUGCCAUGAGACUAUAGACAACCUUAGAAAUGAGAAUGCUAAUUUGUUAGCUAAGGUUGAUUCUAUUGCUUGUAAUGUUUCAAUUCCCAAUCUUAGGAAUGAUAAUGAUGAUUUGCUUGCUAAGAUUGAAGAAUUAAACUUAUCUCUUGUUAGCCUUAGGAAUGAAAAUGAAAAAUUAAUUGCUAAGGCUAAAGAUUUUGAUGUUUGCAAUGCUACUAUUUUCGAUCUUAGAGACAAAAAUGAUAUAUUGCUGUCGGGGACCAUAAUUAGGGGUACCCUCAAGACGCCUAAUUCUCAGCUAGUAACCCCCAUCAGCAUAAAGCUGCAGAGGCCUGAUGGGUGCGAUUAAGUCAGGGAUCAGUCCAUACGAGCGACUCGAUCACGCCUCGCCUGAGCCUAGCCUCGGGCAAGGACAGCCGACCCCGAGGGAUUUCCGUCUCGCCCGAGGCCCCCCUUUAACGGCGGACACAUCUCUGGCUCGCCCGAGGCCUUGCCUUCGCUAAGAAGCAACCCUGACUAAAUCGCCGCACCGACCGACCGAGUCGCAGGGGCAUUUAACGCAAAGGUAGCCUGACACCUUUAUCCUGACGCGCGCCCCCCGGCAGAGCCGAAGUGACCGCCGUCACUUCGCCGCUCCACUGACCGGUCUGACAGAAGGACAGCGCCGCCUGCGCCACUCCGACUGCAGUGCCACUUGACAGAGUGAGACUGACAGGCAGUCAGGCCUUGCCAAAGGCGCCAUAGGAAACUCCGCUCCGCCCGACCCAGGGCUCGGACUCGGGCUAAGCCCCGGAAGACGGCGAACUCCGCUCCGCCCAACCCAGGGCUCGGACUCGGGCUAAGCCCCGGAAGACGGCGAACUCCGCUCCGCCCGACCCAGGGCUCGAACUCGGGCUAAGCCCCGGAAGACGGCGAACUCCGCUCCGCCCGACCCAGGGCUCGGACUCGGGCUAAGCCCCGGAAGACGGCGAACUCCGCUCCGCCCGACUCAGGGCUCGGACUCGGGCUCAGCCCCAGAAGACGACGAACUCCGCUUCGCCCGACCCCAGGGCUCGGACUCCGCCCUGGCCUCUGCCGAACAACCUCCGCCUCGCCCGACCCAGGGGCUCGGGCUGGGCCUCGGCCAUGGAAGACCGACUCGACCUCGGCUUCGGAGGAGCCUCCACGUCGCCCUACCUAGGGCACAGGCUAGCCACGUCAACAGGAAGCGCCAUCAUCACCCUACCCCGAGUCGACUCGGGCCGCAGAGAACAAGACCGGUGUCCCAUCUGGCUAGCUCCGCCAGAUAGGCAAUGAUGGCGCCCCGCUAGCCCUGUGACGACGGUGGCUCUCAGCUCCCUUACGGAAGCAGGGGGACGUCAGCAAGGACUCAACCGCUCCGACAGCUGUCCCUCCGCCAGGCUCCGUUGCUCCUCCGACAGCCACGACAUCACACCAGCAGGGUGCCAAGAUCUCUCCGGCUGCCACAUUGGCAUGUACUUAGGGCGCUAGCUCUCCCCCCGCUAGACACGUAGCACUCUGCUACAUCCCCAUUGUACACCUGGAUCCUCUCCUUACGCCUAUAAAAGGGAGGACCAGGGCCUUCUUAGAGAAGGUUGGCCGCGCGGGGACGAGGACGGGACAGGCGCUCUCUUGGGGCCGCUCGCUUCCCUCACCCGCGUGGACGCUUGUAACCCCCUACUGCAAGCGCACCCGACCUGGGCGCGGGACGAACACGAAGGCCGCGGGAUUUCCACCUCUCUCACGCCCGUCUCCGGCCACCUCGCUUCUCCCCUUCGCGCUCGCCCACGCGCUCGACCCAUCUGGGCUGGGGCACGCGGCACACUCACUCGUCGGCUUUGGGACCCCCCCGUCUCGAGACGCCGACAGUUGGCGCGCCAGGUAGGGGCCUGCUGCGUGCUGACGAACAGCUUCCCAUCAAGCUCCAGAUGGGCAGUCUCCAGCAACCUUUCCGGCCCGGGACGGUGCUCCGUUUCGGGAGUCUUGAGUUCAUGUCCUUCGACGGCAGCUACGACAUGAUACUCCUUCCACCGCCGCGCGACAACGACAAUGGCGGCCGACAACCCGCCCGCCGGCGGCGGAAUCGACGACAUCUUCCCCGCGUGGUGGAAGAACAACAUUCGAGCUCGCCCCGUCCUCUCCCCCGCCAACGGAGGAGGAGGCGGGGCAACCAAGGCCAAGCGGGAGGCCGCGCUUCGUCGGCUGUCGAGCGAAUCGACGUCCCCAGUGCCCCAACGGGGGGCGCGUCGGGCGACGACCUUGCGUUUGAGACGAAGGCGAGCGCCGUCCCCCCGCGACACACCAAUCCCGAGCAAGUGGACGACGCCAGCGCGCUCGCGGAGAGCUUGCAGGACGUCGCCCUCGUACCUGAGACGACGGUGCAAUCAGUCCCCGAUGUGACUACGUCGCUCCUUGUCGACCAAAAGGUACUGACUGAUUCCCAUCCUACGUCAUUUCGACUCGGCCUCAACCCGCCUAGCGACCUCGCUUUGGCGGGCGCUCUCGUUGAGGCGAGUGCAACCCCUCUGGGGUUUCGUAUGCGGUCGCCUUGGGACCAAUUGAUGGACGUCUCGACCUACGGGCCCUCUGGGUCCGAGGAAGAUGACGAUCCCAGCAUCUGUUGGGAAUUCUCUGGAUUUGGCAACCCCAGUGCCAUGCGGGACUUAAUGACCGCAUGUGACUACUGCCUCUCCGACUGCUCCAACGGAAGCCGCAGCCUUGACGACGAGGACUGCGGCCCAAGCCGCGAAUGUUUCCACGUCGAGCUAGGGGAUCCCUCCGAAGGCAACCAUCUCGGCAUGCCGGAGGACGGUGAUCUCCCUAGGCCGGUGCCUCGUGCUGACAUCCUGCAGGAGCUAGCUGUGGUCCCCGUUCCGGCGGGGGGUCACGACCCACAGCUCGAGCAAGUCCGCGGGGCGCAGGCCAGGCUCGACGAGGGAGCAGGAGCGCUUGAGUCGAUCCGCCGGGACGUCGGGCAGGUAUGGGCGGGCCAACCCCCGGCCGGAGAAAUACGUCACCUGCCCUAGGGUUUCCAGCACCGCGUCGCCAACGACGUCAGGGUCAGGCCGCCACCCGCAUCCAGCGGGGUCGGUCAGAACCUGGCAGCCGCGGCGAUGCUCCUCCGCGCGAUGCCGGAGCCAUCAACCACCGAGGGUCGGCGAAUCCAGGGAGAGCUCAAGAAUCUCCUGGAAGGCGCUGCGGUCCGACGGGCCGAGAGCUCUACCUCCCGAAGGCAGGGAUACCCCUCGGAACCUCAUGCCACGACUUCCCGAUUCAUGCGGGAAGCCUCGGUCUACACCGGGCGCACGCGCAACACCGCGCCUGCGGCCCCGGGCCACCUCGGCAACGAGCACCAUCGUCGCAACCGUCGGGCCCACCUCGACGAAAGGGUGCGCCGAGGCUACCACCCCAGGCGUGGGGGACGCUACGACAGCGGGGAGGAUCGGAAUCCCUCGCCCGAACCACCCGGUCCGCAGACCUUCAGUCGGGCCAUCCGACGGGCGCCGUUCCCGACCCGGUUCCGACCCCCGACUACUAUCACAAAGUACUCGGGGGAAACAAGACCGGAACUGUGGCUCGCAGACUACCGCCUGGCCUGCCAACUGGGUGGAACGGACGACGACAACCUCAUCAUCCGCAACCUUCCCCUGUUCCUCUCCGACACUGCUCGCGCCUGGUUGGAGCACCUGCCUCCGGGGCAGAUCUCCAACUGAGAUGACUUGGUCCAAGCCUUCGUCGGCAAUUUCCAGGGCACGUACGUGCGCCCCAGGAAUUCCUGGGACCUCCGAAGCUACCGACAACAGCCAGGAGAGUCUCUUCGGGACUACAUCCGGCGAUUCUCGAAGCAGCGCACCGAGCUGCCCAACAUCACCGACUCGGAUGUCAUCGGCGCGUUCCUCGCCGGCACCACCUGCCGCGACCUGGUGAGUAAGUUGGGUCGCAAGACCCCCACCAGGGCGAGCGAGCUGAUGGACAUCGCCACCAAGUUCGCCUCUGGCCAGGAGGCGGUCGAGGCUAUCUUCCGAAAGGAGAAGCAGCCCCAGGGCCGCCCAUCGGAAGAGGCUCCCAAGGCGUCUACUCCGCGCGGCGCCAAGAAGAAAGGCAAGAAGAAGUCGCAAGCGAAACGCGACGCCGCCGACGCGGACCUUCUCGCCGCCGCCGAGUACAAGAACCCUCGGAAGCCCCCCGGAGGUGCUAACCUCUUCGACAAGAUGCUCAAGGAGUCGUGCCCCUAUCAUCAGGGGCCCAUCAAGCACACCCUCGAGGAGUGCGUCAUGCUUUGGCGCCACUUCCACAGGGCCGGGCCACCCGCAGAGGGUGGCAGGGCCCGCGACGACGACAAAAAGGAAGAUCACCAAGCAGGAGAGUUCCCCGAGGUCCGCGACUGCUUCAUGAUCUACGGUGGGCAUGCGGCGAAUGCCUUGGCUCGGCAUCGCAAGCAAGAGCGCCGGGAGGUCUGCUCGGUGAAGGUGGCGGCGCCAGUCUACCUAGACUAGUCCGACAAGCCCAUCACCUUCGACCAAGCUGACCACCCCGACCACGUGCCGAGCCUGGGGAAAUACCCGCUCGUCGUCGACCCCAUCGUCGGCGACGUCAGGCUCACCAAGGUCCUGAUGGACGGGGGCAGCUGCCUCAACGUCAUCUACGCCGAGACCCUCAAGCUCCUGCGCGUCGAUCUGUCCUCCGUCCGAGUAGGCGCUGCGCCCUUCCACGGGGUCAUUCCUGGGAAGCGCGUCCAGCCCCUCGGACGACUCGACCUUCCCGUCUGCUUCGGAACGCCCUCCAACUUCCGAAGGGAGAUUUUGACGUUCGAGGUGGUCGGGUUCCGAGGAACCUACCACACGGUACUGGGGAGGCCAUGCUACGCGAAGUUCAUGGCCGUCCCCAACUACACCUACCUGAAGCUCAAGAUGCCGGGCCCCAACGGGGUCAUCACCGUCGGCCCCACGUACAAACACGCGUUCGAAUGCGACGUGGAGUGCGUGGAGUACGCCGAGGCCCUCGCCGAGUCCGAGGCCCUCAUCGCCGACCUGGAGAACCUCUCCAAAGAGGUGCCAGACGUGAAGCGUCAUGCCGGCAACUUCGAGCCAGCGGAGACGGUUAAGGCCGUCCCUCUCGACCCCAGUGGCGACACCUCCAAGCAGAUCCGGAUCGGUUCCGGGCUCGACCCCAAAUAGGAAGCAGUGCUCGUCGACUUUCUCCGCGCAAACGCCGACGUCUUCGCGUGGAGUCCCUCGGACAUGCCCGGCAUACAGAGGGAUGUCGCUGAGCACUCGAUGGAUAUUCGGGACGGAGCCCGACCCGUCAGGCAGCCUCUGCGCCGAUUCGAUGAGGAGAAGCGCAGAGUGAUAGGCGAGGAGAUCCACAAGCUAAUGGCAGCAGGGUUCAUCAAAGAGGUAUUCCAUCCCGAAUGGCUUGCCAACCCUGUGCUUGUGAGGAAGAAAGGAGGGAAAUGGCGGAUGUGUGUAGACUACACUGGUCUCAACAAAGCAUGUCCGAAGGUUCCCUACCCUCUACCUCACAUCGAUCAAAUCGUGGAUUCCACUGCUGGGUGCGAAACCCUGUCCUUCCUCGAUGCCUGCUCCGGGUAUCACCAAAUCCGGAUGAAAGAGUCCGACCAGCUCGCGUCUUCUUUCAUCACGCCCUUCGGCAUGUACUGCUAUGUCACCAUGCCGUUCGGUUUGAGGAAUGCGGGCGCGACGUACCAGCGGUGCAUGAACCAUGUGUUCGGCGAACACAUCGGUCGCACAGUCGAGGCCUACGUUGAUGACAUCAUAGUCAAGACAAGGAAGGCUUCCGACCUCCUCUCCGACCUUGAAGUGACAUUCCGAUGUCUCAAAGCGAAAGGCGUCAAGCUCAAUCCCGAGAAGUGUGUCUUCGGGGUGCCCCGGGGCAUGCUCUUGGGGUUCAUCGUCUCCGAGCGAGGCAUCGAAGCCAACCCGGAGAAGAUCGCAGCUAUCACCAGCAUGGGGCCCAUCGAGGACUUAAAAGGCGUACAGAGGGUCAUGGGAUGUCUCGCGGCCCUGAGCCGCUUCAUCUCACGCCUCGGCGAAAGAGGUCUGCCUCUGUACCGCCUCUUAAGGAAGGCCGAGUGUUUCGCUUGGACCCCUGAGGCCGAGGAAGCUCUCGGGAACCUGAAGGCGCUCCUUACAAAGGCGCCUAUCUUGGUGCCCCCAGCUGAUAGAGAAGCCCUCUUGGUCUACGUCGCCACGACCACUCAGGUGGUUAGCGCCGCGAUUGUGGUCGAGAGGCAAGAAGAGGGGCAUGCAUUGCCCGUUCAGAGGCCAGUUUACUUCGUCAGCGAGGUACUGUCCGAAACCAAGAUCCGCUACCCACAAGUUCAGAAGCUGCUGUAUGCAGUGAUCCUGACGAGGCGAAAGUUGCGACAUUACUUCGAGUCUCAUCCGGUAACUGUGGUGUCAUCCUUCCCCCUGGGGGAGAUCAUCCAGUGCCGAGAGGCCUCGGGCAGGAUCGCAAAGUGGGCAGUGGAAAUCAUGGGCGAGACAAUCUCGUUCGCCCCUCGGAAGGCCAUCAAGUCCCAGGUGUUGGCGGACUUCGUAGCCGAAUGGGUCGACACCCAGCUGCCGACGGCUCCGAUCCAACCGGAGCUCUGGACCAUGUUUUUCGACGGGUCGCUGAUGAAGACGGGAGCCGGCGCGGGCCUGCUCUUCAUUUCGCCCCUCGGGAAACACCUACGCUACGUGCUACGCCUCCAUUUCCCGGCGUCCAACAAUGUGGCUGAGUACGAGGCUCUGGUCAACGGGUUGCGGAUCGCCAUCGAGCUAGGGGUCAGACGCCUCGACGCCCGCGGUGACUCGCAGCUCGUCAUCGACCAAGUCAUGAAGAACUCCCACUGCCGCGACCCGAAGAUGGAGGCCUACUGCGAUGAGGUUCGGCGCCUGGAAGACAAGUUCUACGGGCUCGAGCUUAACCACAUCGCUCGGCGCUACAACGAGACUGCGGACGAGCUGGCAAAAAUAGCCUCGGGGCGAACGACGGUUCCCCCGGACGUCUUCUCCCAGGAUCUGCAUCAACCCUCCAUCAAGAUCAACGACACGCCCAAGCCCGAGGCAACCUCGGUCCAGCCCGAGGUACCCUCGGCCCCCGAGGGCGAGGCACUGCACGUCGAGGAGGAGCAGAAUGGGGCCACGCCUGAUCGAAAUUGGCAGACCCCGUACCUGCAAUAUCUCCGCCAAGGAGAGCUACCCCUCGACCAAGCCGAGGCUCGGCGGGUAGCGCGACUCGCCAAGUCGUUCGUCUUGCUGGGCGAUGAGGAGGAGCUCUACCACCGCAGCCCCUCGGGCAUCCUCCAGCGAUGCAUCUCCAUCACCGAAGGUCAGGAACUCCUACAGGAAAUACACUCGGGGGCUUGCGGCCAUCAUGCAGCGCCUCGAGCCCUUGUCGGGAAUGCUUUCUGGCAAGGCUUCUACUGGCCAACGGCGGUGGCUGACGCCACUAGAAUUGUCCGCACCUGCGAAGGGUGCCAAUUCUAUGCGAAGCAGACCCACCUGCCCGCUCAGGCUCUGCAGACGAUACCCAUCACCUAGCCCUUUGCUGUAUGGGGUCUGGACCUCGUCGGUCCCUUGCAGAAGGCGCCCGGGGGCUACACGCACCUGCUGGUCGCCAUCGACAAAUUCUCCAAGUGGAUCGAGGUCCGACCCCUGAACAGCAUCAGGUCCGAGCAGGCGGUGGCGUUCUUCACCAACAUCAUCCAUCGCUUCGGGGUCCCAAACUCCAUCAUCACUGACAACGGUACCCAGUUCACCGGCAGAAAAUUCUUGGAUUUUUGCGAGGAUCACCACAUCCGGGUGGACUGGGCCGCCGUGGCUCAUCCCAUGUCGAAUGGGCAAGUAGAGCGUGCCAACGGCAUGAUUCUACAAGGGCUCAAGCCCCGGAUUUACAACGACCUCAACAAGUUCGGCAAGCGAUGGAUGAAGGAACUCCCCUCGGUGGUCUGGAGCCUGAGGACAACGCCGAGCCGAGCCACGGGUUUCACGCCGUUCUUCCUGGUCUACGGGGCCGAGGCCAUCUUGCCCACUGACCUGGAAUACGGCUCCCCGAGGACGAGGGCCUACAACGAUCAAAGCAACCAAGCUAGCCGAGAAGAAUCGCUGGACCAGCUGGAAGAGGCUCGGGACAAGGCCUUACUACACUCGGCGAGGUACCAGCAGUCCCUGCGACGCUACCACGCCCGAGGGGUCCGGCCCCGAGACCUCCAGGUGGGCGACCUGGUGCUUCGGCUGCGGCAAGACGCCCGAGGGAGGCACAAGCUCACGCCCCCUGGGAGGGGCCAUUCGUCAUCGCCAAAGUUCUGAAGCCCAGAACGUACAAGCUGGCCAACAAUCAAGGCGAGAUCUACGGCAACGCUUGGAACAUCCAACAGCUACGUCGCUUCUACCCUUAAGAUGUUUUCAAGUUUUUCAUAUACCUCGCACCCACGCAAAGUUUAGUCAUCAAGGAAGGGUCGGCCUCGCCUCGGCAAAGCCCGACCCUCCCUCGGGGGCUAAAAGGGGGGGGACCCCCUCUGCGUCGAAAUUUUCCUCGAAAAAAGAUCUCUUUUAGCAGAAUAUCUUUUGUGCUUUUUGACUACUUCGAAAAGCGGAUCCUGAAAACGACGGAGUACACAUAAGCAGCCAAGGCUGACCAAGCCGAGGGACUCCUACGCCUCCGGGAUACGGAUACCUCACUCAUCACCUUCUGCGAUAAGUAACUCGCGUUUGGAUAAAGUGAUUCCGCGGACCGAACAAGUCUUUACGUUCGGAAGCUCUUCUGCCGAAGCGGUCCUUCAAGCCUUCUCGACUGAAUCGGUGAUAGGGCCUCAUGGACGGGUGAAAGUACGCGUAAGCGGCAAGGCCGACCGAGCCGAGGGACUCCCACGCCUCCGGGAUACGGAUACCUCACUCAUCACCUUCCGCGAGAAGCAACUCUCGCUCGCACAAACAUCCCUGUUACCGACAAAAAAGUCCAGAUGCUCGAAAUAAGAGGAAAGGAGACACAGCUUUACAACGCAGCGAGGGUGUGUUUUCUGGCCUCAGCGGCCGCAGAAGGCACACGCUACAAGACAAUCUGAUCCCGCAGGCUUGGGUCUUCACGCUGGAAGGGGGCUGUAGCACCCUCAGCAUCGACGACACCUUCAGCGAGGUCCGACCCAGCCUCGGACGGCGACGCGGUCCAGGGACUUCUCCGGGAAUCCGGCCCGAGCAGGCGGCUCGGCCGGUUUCCCCAAGGGCCUCGGCCAACCAUCUUCCAAGGGCGCCAGCCCGGUCCGAGGCCUCGGCUGAUCAACUCCGGCAUCGGUCCCGCGGGUACGAACAACCCCACAAAAUCGGGGAACCCGCGGAGCGAUCGCGAGCUGACGGGCGGCCCGCCGCCGCCCGAUCCGGCAACAGCGGCAACCACCCCCGCCCCGGGCGGCGAAGCAGCUUCGGCAGCGGCUUCGAGGCAGGUGUUAUGACAGGAGGGCUCUCACCCGUAGAGGACGAGAACCAGCCAUUCAGGCCGGGAGACGGAGACCCAGGGCUAAUGGCGGAGUUGGCAAUCUCAUCGGUAGAGAAGCCAUCUCCGGCUGCCGACGCCUCGAAGCGCGCCGGCAGGUCUUCGCCCUAGUCAGAACCGCCCAGAGCAUGGGCGCCGCCCUCGUGGUACGCAGCACAACCGUCGUCCGGACGGAGGGCGUAGUGCUGCGCCCUAGCCGAGUGAUGGCGGCCCACCUAUCCCGGCAUGGUUGGAGGAAGUCUCCGCGAAACUGGAGGAUGCCAUUCUUCCCCAGACGCCAGGGGAAGAAAAGGGCAGCCGACCCACGCGGGGGCAGCCCUCCGACUCGCCUCAUCCUCCAUCUUGGCCUGGAUGACGAAAAUCCUUGAGGCUGAGGGAGGGGCAGGGGCCGCAGCCCGGCUCGCUUUCCCCCACCAUCAAGCUGGAGGUCACCAUCUUGGGUGACCGCCGGUGGAGGGGUGCAGCCGGGCUGCAUGAUGAAAAUCCUUGAAGCCGAACGAUGGCUGAAAGGUACCAACUCCCACGGAGUUGCGUUCCUCCAACGAUGAGGUGAAAAGACGGCGGGUACCCCCCAUCCGGGGGCUUGGAAGGUGGAAAGACGCGACGCAUAAGGGAGGAAGAAGACAUGGUCACCUUCCGGAAGGGGUCGCCCUCCUUUUAAAGGCAACUCUCCCUACGUACGCCCCCAAACGUCACGGGCUGAGUCUUCUCCAAUACGCUCCAAGGCCCUCCCCUGCGGCGCGGGGGCUAGGUCCCGCAUGUCAUGAAAACUGGCUCAGAGCAGAAGAAGCCAAACCGCCGCGCGUGGUGCACACAACCGCCCAGCAGUUACAAGCGACCCCCCACUUUUGCCCAGACCAACGGGCGGAAGGGGCGGGCAGCCAUGCAGGCGGCAUGCAAUCGCGCCAGGUGGACGCGCUUCUCCGACUCCCAACACGCAGGCAUGGAGGCCCAGGCCCACGCGUCACGCAACCGGCGCGCCAGAUGCUGCAUGCAAGCAACUGCACCGCCACUUGCGCCACCACCGCGCCUCAUCGGUUGCGGAACCAAUACCGCGACUCGAGGCGGCCCAGCGCACGACCCAGCAGCGCCAGCCUGGCGCGACGGUCAAUACGGCCGAAAGUGGGCCGGCAGUAAUGACGGUGGCAGGCGGGCGGGAGCAGCGGUCACGUCGUCGGCCAGACUCACGUCCCGUCCGGGGGCAGCAAGAGAACCCCCUCUCACGGCGUGAAGACAGGGCGCCCGUGAUCCGUUCCUCGAACGGCUCGCGCACGCGCAACGGCCGCCCUGCCAACAACUCACCCCGUCGCAUUAACUCCGCGGCGGGACGGGCGGCGCUUCUGGCGGGAGAAGCGGGCGACGCUUCGCCUUCGCCGUAAUAACCGCGCCAAAAAAGGUACGCCAUGUCGUUCGAUUUCGUAUCCUUUUCCUUUUUUCCUCUUUCUCUAUCUCUUGCAACAGGGACCGGGAAAGGGGGAUACCCCGAAAAGGAUCCUUCCCUGUGAAGGAACCGGGCUCCGAGCCCCCCUACUGAUCAGAGGUUCGAAGGUUGGCCCUCUGAGGGGUUCAACAGUCGCCUCAGAUCGCGUGGGCCCUACACCCACUACUGGUCAGAGGUUCGAAGGCCGGCCCCCCGAAGGGCUCCACGGCCGCCUCAGGCUACUCGGGCUCCGCGCCCAUUACUGAUCAGGGGUUCGAAGGCUGGCCCCCGAAGGGUUCACAGUCGCCUCAGACGCCGAGCGAGGGAUGACCAGGGGUACGUUCGAUACAUAACCAAGGCUCGGGCUGCGCUCCCGAGGUACCCUAGGACAUUUCCGAGACCAGCGGGAGCGAUCUUGUAACGGAAUCCCAUCGGAGGGAGGCAUCGAGCCCUCGGACCCCGUCGCCAGGGGACCGGGUCCGGCAGAUCACCCGCAGGUACUUUUGGGCGUGCCUCUGGGCCCCUAGCCGACCCCCAACAAACGGGGCACGGACGUCCACUCGGAUUACCCGCUUGCAGCUCACCGGAGACACCAUGUUCGGUGCCCAUCGAGGGUAACAUGGCGCUCUCCCCCCAUCCUCCUUGCGGAAAGGCGACGUAGGGGCGUAUGUAAAAAAGCCGAGUCUGUCCCUGAUCGUCCUCUCGCCCUGUGCGGAGGCUCGGGGGCUGCUCUCGCAAAAUCGGCUCCGGCCGAACCGUUGACAGCGUCAACAUACCAGCCCGAGAACUUGGGCCCCGACCAUGCACCCGGGCUACGGCCAGUUCGCAUGAGGGAACAACCAGACCAGCCGAAGCAUUACGCAAGGCAUUAAGACCUCGGGGGAGUGAAACCACUCCUCCGAGGCCUCGGGGGCUACACCCGGCGGGUGCGCUCGCGCGCACCCACCGGAACAAAAUGCAACCGAGAAAGGCUGGUCCCCUUGCAAAAAAGUGCGACGAAAGCCUCCAAGCGAGUGCUAACACUCCCUUCGAGGCUCGGGGGCUACUGUCGGGGACCAUAAUUAGGGGUACCCUCAAGACGCCUAAUUCUCAGCUGGUAACCCCCAUCAGCAUAAAGCUGCAGAGGCCUGAUGGGUGCGAUUAAGUCAGGGAUCCGUCCAUACGAGCGACUCGAUCACGCCUCGCCCGAGCCUAGCCUCGGGCAAGGGCAGCCGACCCCGAGGGAUUUCCGUCUCGCCCGAGGCCCCCCUUUAACGGCGGACACAUCUCUGGCUCGCCCGAGGCCUUGCCUUCGCUAAGAAGCAACCCUGACUAAAUCGCCGCACCGACCGACCGAGUCGCAGGAGCAUUUAACGCAAAGGUAGCCUGACACCUUUAUCCUGACGCGUGCCCCCCGGCAGAGCCGAAGUGACCGCCGUCACUUCGCCGCUCCACUGACCGGUCUGACAGAAGGACAGCGCCGCCUGCGCCACUCCGACUGCAGUGCCACUUGACAGAGUGAGACUAACAGGCAGUCAGGCCUUGCCAAAGGCGCCAUAGGAAACUCCGCUCCGCCCGACCUAGGGCUCGGACUCGGGCUAAGCCCCGGAAGACGGCGAACUCCGCUCCGCCCGACCCAGGGCUCGGACUCGGGCUAAGCCCCGGAAGACGGCGAACUCCGCUCCGCCCGACCCAGGGCUCGGACUCGGGCUAAGCCCCGGAAGACGGCGAACUCCGCUCCACCCGACCCAGGGCUCGGACUCGGGCUAAGCCCCGGAAGACGACGAACUCCGCUCCGACCGACCCAGGGCUCGGACUCGGGCUAAGCCCCGGAAGACGGCGAACUCCGCUCCGCCCGACCCAGGGCUCGGACUCGGGCUAAGCCCCGGAAGACGGCGAACUCCGCUCCGCCCGACCUAGGGCUCGGACUUGGGCUAAGCCUCGGAAGACGGCGAACUCCGUUCCGCCCGACCCAGGGCUCGGACUCGGGCUAAGCCCCGGAAGACGGCGAACUCCGCUCCGCCCGACCCAGGGCUCGGACUCGGGCUAAGCCCCGGAAGACGGUGAACUCCGCUCCACCCGACCCAGGGCUCGGACUCGGGCUCAGCCCCAGAAGACGACGAACUCCGCUUCGCCCGACCCCAGGGCUCGGACUCCGCCCUGGCCUCUGCCGAACAACCUCCGCCUCGCCCGACCUAGGGGCUCGGGCUCGGCCUCGUCCAUGGAAGACCGACUCGACCUCGGCUUCGGAGGAGCCUCCACGUCGCCCUACCUAGGGCACAGGCCAGCCACGUCAACAGGAAGCGCCAUCAUCACCCUACCCCGAGUCGACUCGGGCCGCAGAGAACAAGACCGGUGUCCCAUCUGGCUAGCUCUGCCAGAUAGGCAAUGAUGGCGCCCCGCUAGCCCUAUGACGACGGCGGCUCUCAGCUCCCUUACGGAAGCAGGGGGACGUCAGCAAGGACUCAACCGCUCCAACAGCUGUCCCUCCGCCAGGCUCCGUUGCUCCUCCGACAGCCACGACAUCACACCAGCAGGGUGUCAAGAUCUCUCCGGCUGCCACAUUGGCAUGUACUUAGGGCGCUAGCUCUCCCCCCGCUAGACACGUAGCACUCUGCUACAUCCCCAUUGUACACCUGGAUCCUCUCCUUACGCCUAUAAAAGGGAGGACCAGGGCCUUCUUAGAGAAGGUUGACCGCGCGGGGACGAGGACGGGACAGGCGCUCUCUUGGGGCCGCUCGCUUCCCUCACCCGCGUGGACGCUUGUAACCCCCUAUUGCAAGCGCACCCGACCUGGGCGCGGGACGAACACGAAGGCCGCGGGAUUUCCACCUCUCUCACGCCCGUCUCCGGCCACCUUGCUUCCCCCCUUCGCGCUCGCCCACGCGCUCGACCCAUCUGGGCUGGGGCACGCGACACACUCACUCGUCGGCUUUGGGACCCCCCGGUCUCGAGACGCCGACAAUUGCGUUCUAAGAUUGUUGAACUUAAUUCUUGCAAACCCUCUACAUCUACCGUUGAGCAUACUACCAUUUGCACUAGAUGUAGAGAUGUUAACAUUGAUGCUAUACAUGAUCACAUGGCUUUAAUUAAACAACAAAAUGAUCAUAUAGCAAAAUUAGAUGCUAAAAUUGUCGAGCAUAACUUAGAAAACGAAAAGUUUAAAUUUGCUAGAAGUUUGCUCUAUAGUGGGAGACGCCCUGGCAUUAAGGAUGGCAUUGGCUUCCAACAGGGAGGCAAUGUCAAAAUUAAUGCCCCUCCUAAGAAAUUGUCCAACUUUGUUAAGGGCAAGGCUCCCAUGCCUCAGGAUAACGAGGGUUACAUUUUAUACCCUGUCGGUUAUCCCGAGAGCAAAAUUAAGAGAAUUCAUUCUAGGAAGUCUCACUCUGGCCCUAAUCAUGCUUUUAUGUAUAAGGGUGAGACAUCUAGCUCUAGGCAACAAACCCAUGCUAAGUUGACUAAGAAGAAAAUUCCUAGUGCUUCAAAUGACCAUGACAUCUCAUUUAAAACUUUUGAUGCAUCUUAUGUUUUGACUAACAAAUCCGGCAAGGUAGUUGCCAAAUAUGUUGGGGGCAAGCACAAGGGGUCAAAGACUUGUGUCUGGGUACCCAAAGUUCUUGUAUCUAAUGCCAAAGGACCCAAAACCAUUUGGGUACCUAAAGUGAAGAACUAAACUUGUUUUGUAGGUUUAUGCAUCCGGGGGCUCAAGUUGGGUAAUCGACAGUGGGUGCACAAACCACAUGACAGGGGAGAAGAAGAUGUUCUCCUCCUACGAGAAAAACCAAGAUCCCCAACGAGCUAUCACAUUCGGGGAUGGAAAUCAAGGUUUGGUCAAAGGAUUGGGUAAAAUUGCUAUAUCCCCUGACCAUUCUAUUUCCAAUGUUUUUCUUGUAGAUUCUUUAGAUUACAAUUUGCUUUCUGUAUCUCAAUUAUGCAAAAUGGGCUACAAUUGUCUAUUCACUGAUGUAGGUGUCACUGUCUUUAGAAGAAGUGAUGAUUCAAUAGCAUUUAAGGGAGUGUUAGAGGGUUAGCUGUACUUAGUAAAUUUUGAUAGAGCUGAACUCGACACCUGCUUAAUUGCUAAGACUAACAUGGGCUGGCUCUGGCAUCGCCGACUAGCACAUGUUGGGAUGAAGAAUCUUCAUAAGCUUCUAAAGGGAGAGCACAUUUUAGGACUAACCAAUGUUCAUUUUGAGAAAGACAGGGUUUGUAGCGCAUGACAAGCAGGAAAGCAAGUUGGUGCCCAUCAUCCACACAAGAACAUCAUGAUGACCGACAGGCCACUGGAGCUCCUACACAUGGACCUAUUCGGCUCGAUCGCUUACAUAAGCAUCAACGAGAGUAAGUACUGUCUUGUUAUUGUGGAUGAUUAUUCUCGCUUCACUUGGGUGUUCUUUUUGCAGGAGAAAUCUCACACCCAAGAGACCUUAAAGGGAUUCUUGAGACGGGCUCAAAAUGAGUUCGGCUUGAGGAUCAAGAAAAUUAGAAGCGACAAUGGGACGGAGUUCAAGAACUCACAAAUCGAAGGCUUCCUUGAGGAGGAGGGCAUCAAGCAUGAGUUCUCCUCUCCCUACACACCACAACAAAAUGGUGUAGUGGAGAGGAAGAAUAGAACUCUGUUAGACAUGGCAAGAACCAUGCUUGAUGAGUACAAGACUUCGGAUCGGUUUUGGGCCGAGGCAGUCAACACCGCCUGCUACGCCAUCAACCGGUUGUAUCUACACCGAAUCCUCAAGAAGACCUCAUACGAACUCCUUACCGGUAAAAAGCCCAAUAUUUCAUAUUUUAGAGUCUUUGGUAGCAAAUGCUUUAUUCUUGUUAAAAGAGGAAGAAAAUCUAAAUUUGCUCCUAAGACUGUAGAAGGCUUUUUACUAGGAUAUGACUCAAACACAAGGGCAUAUAGAGUCUUUAACAAGUCCUCUGGACAAGUUGAAGUCUCUUGUGACGUUGUGUUUGAUGAGACUAACGGCUCUCAAGUAGAGCAAGUUGAUCUUGAUGAGAUAGGUAUUGAAGAGACUCCGUGCAUCGCGCUAAGGAACAUGUCCAUUGGGGAUGUGUGUCCUAAGGAAUCCGAAGAGCCUCCAAAUGCACAAGAUCAACCAUCCUCCUCCACGCAAGCAUCUCCACCAACUCAAAAUGAGGAUGAAGCUCAAGUUGAUGAAGUAGAAGAUCAAGCAAAUGAGCCACCUCAAGAUGACGGCAAUGAUCAAGGGAGAGAUGCAAAUGAUCAAGACAAGGAGGAUGAAGAACAAAGGCCGCCACACCCAAGAGUCCACCAAGCAAUCCAACAAGAUCACCCCGUUGACACCAUCCUAGGCGACAUCCAUAAGGGGGUAACCACUAGAUCUCGUGUUGCACAUUUUUGUGAGCAUUACUCUUUUGUUUCCUCUAUUGAGCCACACAGGGUAGAGGAAGCACUUCAAGAUUCGGAUUGGGUGGUGGCGAUGCAAGAGGAGCUCACCAACUUCACUAGGAAUGAGGUAUGACAUUUGGUUCCACGUCCUAACCAAAAUGUUGUAGGAACCAAAUGGGUGUUCCGCAACAAGCAAGAUGAGCAUGGUGUGGUGACAAGGAACAAAGCUCGACUUGUGGCCAAAGGAUACUCUCAAGUCGAAGGUUUGGAUUUCGGUGAAACCUAUGCACCCGUAGCUAGGCUUGAGUCAAUUCGUAUAUUAUUGGCCUAUGCUACUUACCAUAGCUUUAAGCUUUAUCAAAUGGACGUGAAAAGUGCCUUCCUAAAUGGACCAAUCAAGGAAGAGGUCUAUGUUGAGCAACCUCCCGGCUUUGAAGACAGUGAGUAUCCUAACCAUGUCUAUAAGCUCUCUAAGGCGCUUUAUGGGCUCAAGCAAGCCCCAAGAGCAUGGUAUGAAUGCCUUAGAGAUUUUCUUAUUGCAAAUGGAUUCAAAGUUGGAAAGGCCGAUCCUACACUCUUCACUAAAACUCUUGAAAAUGACUUGUUUGUAUGCCAAAUUUAUGUUGAUGAUAUUAUAUUUAGGUCUACUAACGAGUCUACAUGUGAAGAAUUUAGUAGGAUCAUGACACAAAAGUUCGAGAUGUCUAUGAUGGGGGAGUUGAAGUAUUUCUUAGGAUUUCAAGUGAAGCAACUCCAAGAAGGCACCUUCCUAAGCCAAACGAAGUAUACUCAAGAUAUUCUAAGCAAGUUUGGAAUGAAGGAUGCCAAACCCAUCUCGACCUCGAUGAAGGAGGUAAAUCCGUCGAUCAAAAGGUAUACCGGUCGAUGAUAGGCUCUUUGCUAUAUUUAUGUGCAUCUCGACCGGAUAUUAUGCUUUCCGUAUGCAUGUGUGCAAGAUUCCAAGCCGACCCUAAGGAAGCUCACCUUACGGCCGUAAAACGAAUCUUGAGAUACUUAGUUUAUACUCCUAAGUUUGGGCUUUGGUAUCCUAGGGGAUCCACAUUUGAUUUAAUUGGUUAUUCGGAUGCCGAUUGGGCGAGGUGUAAAAUCAAUAGAAAGAGCACAUCGGGGACUUGCCAGUUCUUGGGAAGAUCCUUGGUGUCUUGGGCUUCAAAGAAGCAAAAUUCCGUAGCUCUUUCUACCGCCGAAGCCGAGUAUAUUGCCGCAGGUCAUUGUUGCGCGCAACUGCUUUGGAUGAGGCAAACCCUUAGGGACUACGGUUACAAACUAACCAAAGUCCCUCUCCUAUGUGAUAAUGAGAGUGCAAUCCGCAUGCCGGAUAAUCCCGUUGAGCAUAGCCGCACUAAACACAUAGCCAUUCGGUAUCACUUUUUAAGGGAUCACCAACAAAAAGGAGAUAUCGAGAUUUCAUACAUUAACACUAAGGAUCAAUUAGCCGAUAUAUUUACCAAGCCUCUUGAUGAACAAACCUUUAACAAACUUAGGCAUGAGCUAAAUAUUCUUGAUUCUAGGAACUUCUUUUGUUGAUUUGCACACAUAGCUCAUAAGUAUACCUUUGAACAUAUCUCUUUUAUAUGUUAUGACUAAUGUGUUUUCAAGUCUAUUUCAAACCAAGUCAUAGGUGUAUUGAAAGGGAAAUUGGAGUCUUCGGCGAAGACAAAGGCUUCCACUCCGUAACUCAUCCUUCGCCGUCACUCCAAGCAACUCUCCAUUUUUGGGGGAGAAAGCAUGAGCACCAAGCAAAAGGACUCCGUCUUUGGUAUAAUCUUCACUCAUUUAUUUAUGACCAAAGGGGGAGAGAGUAAUUCCAAGGGCUCUAAUGACUCCGUUUUUGGCGAUUCAUGCCAAAGGGGGAGAAAGUAUUAGCCCAAAGCAACCACCACCUAAUUUUAAAACGAGUUUUUCAAUUGGUAUGAUUCUCAAUUAAAAAAAUUGGUAUCUUAUUGUGUUCAAAAGGGGGAGAAAGUAGCAUUUCAAAAUUGAUAUAUCAAAACCCUCUUGAACACUAAGAGGAGAAUUGUAUUUAGGGGGAGUUUUGUUUAGUCAAAGGAAAAGCAUUUGAAACAGGGGGAGAAAAUUUCAAAUUUUGAAAAUGCUUCGCAAAAAUCUUAUUCAUUUACCUUUGACUAUUUGCAAAAAGAACUUUGAAGAGGAUUUACAAAAGAAUUUGCAAAAACAAAACAUGUGGUGCAAGCGUGGUCCAAAAUGUCAAAAAUUGAAGAAACAAUCCAUGCAUAUCUUAUAAGUAUUUAUAUUGGCUCAAAUUCCAAGCAACCUUUGCACUUACAUUAUGCAAACUAGUUCAAUUAUGCACUUCUAUAUUUGCUUUGGUUUGUGUUGGCAUCAAUCACCAAAAAGGGGGAGAUUGAAAGGGAAUUAGGCUUACACCUAUUUCCUAAAUGAUUUUGGUGGUUGAAUUGCCCAACACAAAUAAUUGGACUAACUAGUUUGCUCCAGUGUAUAAGUUAUACAGGUGCCAAAGGUUCACAACUUAGCCAAUAAAAAGACCAAGAAUUGGGUUCAACAAAGGAGCAAAGGGAUAACCGAAGUGUGCCCUGGUCUGGCGCACCGGACUAUCCGGUGUGCCACCGAACAGUGUCCGGUGCACCAGGGGACUUCACGCUGAACUCUUCACCUUCAGGAAAAUCUAGAGGCGCUCCACUAUAAUUCACCGGACUGUCCGGUGUACACCGGACAGUGUCCGGUGCCCCAGGGAAGAGCGGCUCUGGAACUCACCAGCCUCGGGAAUUCGCUCCGCUAUAAUUCACCGGACUGUCCGGUGUGCACCGGACUGUCGGGUGAGCCAGUGGAGCAACGGCUACUUCGCGCCAACGGUCACCUGCAGGCGCAUUUAAUGCGCGCCAGAAGCGCGCAGAAGUCAGGCACGUGUGAGACGGUGCACCGGACAAUCUACAGUACUUGUCCGGUGUACACCGGACAGCCAGGCGGGCCCAGAAGUCAGAAGCUCCAACGGUCGAAUCCCAAUGGCCUGGUGACGUGGCUGGCGCACCGGACAUGUCUGGUGUGCACCGGACUGUCCGGUGCACCAUACGACAGUCAGCCACCACCAAACGGCUAGUUUGGUGGUUGGGGCUAUAAAUACCCCCAACCACCCCACAUUCAAGUCAUCCAAGUUUUCCCACUUCAACUACUUACAAGAGCUCUAGCAUUCAAUUCUAGACACACCCAAGUGAUCAAAUCCUCUCCAAACUCUACACAACGCCCUAGUGAUUAGUGAGAGAGAUUUGUUUGUGUUCUUUCGAGCUCUUGCGCUUGGAUUGCUUUCUUCUUUCUUUGAUUCUUCAUUGCGAUCAAACUCACUUGUAAUUAAGGCAAGAGACACCAAUCUUGUGGUGGUCCUUGUGGGAACUUUGUGUUCCAAGUGAUUGAGAAGAAAAGCUCACUCGGUCCGAGGGACCGUUUGAGAGAGGGAAAGGGUUGAAAGAGACCCGGUCUUUGUGACCACCUCAACGGGGAGUAGGUUUGCGAGAACCGAACCUCGGUAAAACAAAUCCACGUGUCUCACUCCUUAUUCGCUUGCGAUUUGUUUUCCACCCUCUCUCGCGGACUCGAUUAUAUUUCUAACGCUAACCCGGCUUGUAGUUGUGAUUAUUUUUGAGAAUUUCAGUUUCGCCCUAUUCACCCCCCUUCUAGGCGACUUUCAGCGCCAACUGCCGAGCUUCAGCUCGGUCGAGGGGUAGCUCUCCUCGGUGGAGAUAUUGCAGGUACGGGGUCUGCCAGUUUCGAUUAGGCGUGACCCCGCUCCGCUCCUCCUCGACGCGCAGUGCCUCACCCUCGGAGGCCGAGGGUGCCUCGGGCUGAGCCGAGGGUGCCUCGGGCUGAGCCGAGGGUGCCUCGGGCUGAGCCGAGGCUUUCUCGGGUUUGGGCGCGUCAUCAGUCUUGACGGAGGGUUGAUGCAGGUCUCGGGAGAAGACGUCCGGGGGAACCGUUAUCCGCCCCGAGGCUAUCUUAGCCAGCUCGUCCGCAGUCUCGUUGUAUCGUCGGGCGAUGUGGUUGAGCUCGAGCCCGUAGAACUUGUCUUCCAGGCGCCGAACCUCAUCGCAGUAGGCUUCCAUCUUCGUGUCGCGGCAGUGGGAGUUCUUCAUGACUUGGUCGAUGACGAGCUGCGAGUCACCGCGAGUGUCGAGGCGUCGGACCCCUAGCUCGAUGGCGAUGCGCAACCCGUUGACUAGAGCCUCAUACUCGGCCAGAUUGUUGGACGCCGGGAAGUGGAGGCGUAGCACGUAGCGUAGGUGCUUCCCGAGGGGCGAGAUGAAGAGCAGACCCACGCCUGCCCCUGUCUUCAUCAGCGACCCGUCGAAAAACAUGGUCCAGAGUUCCGGUUGGAUUGGAGCUAUUGGGAGUUGGGUAUCGACCCAUUCAGCCACAAAGACCGCCAAGACUUGGGACUUGAUGGCCUUCCGAGGGGCGAACGAGAUUGUCUCGCCCAUGAUUUCCACCGCCCACUUUGCAAUCCUACCCGAGGCCUCUCGGCACUGGAUGAUCUCCCCAGGGGGAAGGAUGACACCACAGUCACUGGAUGAGACUCGAAGUAGUGUCGCAACUUCCGCGGCGUCAGGAUCACCGCGUACAACAGCUUCUGAAUUUGUGGGUAGCGGAUCUUGGUCUCGGACAGUACCUCACUGAUGAAGUAGACUGGCCUCUAGAUGGGCAAUGCAUGCCCCUCUUCUCGUCUCUCAACCACGAUCGCGGCGCUGACCACCUGAGUGGUAGCGGCGACGUAAAUCAAGAGGGCUUCUCCGGCCACGGGGGGCACCAAGAUGGGCGCGUUCGUGAGGAGCGCCUUCAGGUUCCCGAGGGCUUCCUCGGCCUCAGGGGUCCAAGUGAAGCACUCGGCCUUUCUUAAGAGGCGGUACAGAGGCAGGCCUCUUUCGCCGAGGCGCGAGAUGAAACGGCUCAGAGCCGCAAGGCAUCCCGUGACCCUCUGUACACCUUUCAAGUCCUUGAUGGGCCCCAUGUUGGUGAUGGCCACGAUUUUCUCCGGGUUGGCCUCGAUGCCCCGCUCGGAGACAAUGAACCCCAAGAGCAUGCCUCGGGGGACCCCGAAGACGCACUUCUCGGGAUUGAGCUUUACGCCUUUCGCCUUGAGACACCGGAAUGUCGUUUCAAGGUCGGAAAGGAGGUCGGAGGCUUUCCUUGUCUUGACUACGAUGUCAUCGACGUAGGCCUCGACCGUUCGACCAAUGUGUUCGCCGAACACGUGGUUCAUGCACCUUUGGUAUGUCGCACCCGCAUUCCUCAAACCGAACGGCAUGGUAACAUAGCAGUACAUGCCGAAAGGUGUGAUGAAAGAAGUCGCGAGCUGGUCGGACUCUUUCAUCCUGAUUUGGUGAUACCCUGAGUAGGCAUCGAGGAAAGACAGGGUUUUGCACCCAGCAGUGGAAUCCACGAUUUGAUCGAUGCGAGGCAGAGGGUAGGGAACUUUUGGACAUGCUUUGUUUAGACCAGUGUAGUCUACACACAUCCGCCAUUUCCCUCCUUUCUUUCUCACAAGCACAGGGUUGGCAAGCCAUUCGGGAUGGAAUACCUCUUUGAUGAACCCUGCCGCCAUUAGCUUGUGGAUCUCCUCGCCAAUGGCUCUGCGCUUUUCUUCGUCGAAUCGGCACAGAGGCUGCUUCACGGGCCGGGCUCUAGCUCGGAUAUCCAGCGAGUGCUCGGCGACAUCCCUCGGUAUGUCGGGCAUGUUCGAGGGACUCCACGCGAAAACGUCGGCGUUUGCGCGGAGAAAGUCGACGAGCACUGCUUCCUAUUUGGGAUCGAGCUCGAAGCCGAUCCAGAUCUGCUUGGAGGCGUCGUUGCUGGGGUCGAGAGGGACAGACUUAACCGUCUCCGCUGGCUCGAAGUUGCCGGCAUGGCGCUUCACGUCUGGAGCCUCCUCGGAUUCGGCGAGGGCCUCGCUGUACUCCACGCACUCCACGUCACAUUCAUACGUGUGUCGGUAUGUGGGGCCAACGGUGUUGACCCCGUUGGGGCCCGGCAUCUUGAGCUUGAGGUAGGUGUAGUUGGGGACGGCCAUGAACUUGGCGUAGCAUGGCCUUCCCAACACUGCGUGGUAGGUUCCUCGGAACCCGACCACCUCGAACGUGAGGGUUUCCCUUCGGAAGUUGGAGGGAGUCCCGAAGCAGACGGGUAGAUCGAGUUGUCCGAGGGGCUGGACGCGUUUCCCGGGGAUGAUCCCGUGGAAAGGCGCCGCGCCCGCCCGGACCGAGGACAGAUCGAUCAGCAGGAGCCCGAGGGUCUCGACGUAGACGAUGUUGAGGCUGCUGCCUCCGUCCAUGAGGACCUUGGUGAGCCUGACAUUGCCAGUGACGGGGUCGACAACGAGCGAGUAUUUCCCCAGGCUCGGCACGCGGUCGGGGUGGUCGCCCUGGUCGAAGGUGAUGGGCUUGUCGGACCAGUCUAGGUAGACUGGCGCCGCCACCUUUAUCGAGCAGACCUCCUGACGCUCUUGCUUGCGAUGCCGAGCCGAGGCGUUCGCCACUUGCCCACCGUAGAUCAUGAAGCAGUCGUGGACCUCGGGGAACUCUCCUGCCUUGUGAUCUUCCUUCUUAUCGUCGUCGCGGGCCCUGCCACCUUCCGCAGGUGGCUCGGCCUUGUGAAAGUGGCGCCGAAGCAUGGCGCACUCCUCAAGGGUGUGCUUGAUGGGCCCCUGAUGAUAGGGGCACAGCUCCUUGAGCAUCUUGUCGAAGAGAUUGACGCCUCCGGGAGGUUUCCGAGGGUUCUUGUACUCAACGGCGGCGACAAGGUCCGCGUCGGCGGCGUCGCGUUUCGCGUGCGACUUCUUCUUGCCUUUCUUCUUGGUGCCGCGCUGAGUGGACGCCUCGGGGACAUCUUCCGGCUGGCGGCCCUGGGGCUGCUUAUCCUUCCGAAAGAUGGCCUCAACUGCCUCCCGGCCAGAGGCGAACUUAGUGGCGAUGUCCAUCAGCUCACUCGCCCUGGUGGGGGUCUUGCGACCCAGCUUGCUCACCAGGUCACGGCAGGUGGUGCCGGCGAGGAACGCGCCGAUGACAUCUGAGUCGGUGACGUUGGGCAGCUCGGUGCGCUGCUUCGAGAACCGCCGGAUGUAGUCCCGGAGAGACUCUCCCGGCUGCUGGCGGCAGCUUCGGAGAUCCCAGGAGUUCCCAGGGCGCACGUACGUGCCCUGGAAGUUGCCGGCGAAUGCUUGGACCAGGUCGUCCCAGUUGGAGAUCUGCCCCGGAGGCAAAUGCUCCAGCCAGGCCCGAGCGGUGUCGGAGUGGAACAGGGGGAGGUUGCAGAUGAUGAGGUUGUCAUUGUCCGUCCCACCCAGGUGGCAGGCCAGCCGGUAGUCCGUGAGCCACAGUUCCGGCCUCGUCUCCCUCGAGUACUUUGUGAUGGUAGUCGGGGUUCGGAACCGGGUCGGGAACGGCGCCCGUCGUAUAGCCCGGUUGAAAGCCUGUAGACCGGGUGGUUCGGGCGAGGGACUCCGAUCUUCCCCGCUGUCGUAGCGUCCCCCACGCCUGGAGUGGUAGCCUCGGCGCACCUUGUCGUCGAGGUGGGCUCGACGGUUGCGGUGAUGGUGCUCGUUGCCGAGGCGACCCGGGGCCGCAGGCGCCGUGUUGCGCGUGCGCCCGGUGUGGACCGAGGCUUCCCGCAUGAAUCGGGAAGUCGCGGCGCGAUGUUCCGACGGGUGCCCCUGCCUUCGGGAGGCAGAGCUUUCGGCUCGUCGGACCGCGGCAUCCUCCAGGAGAUUCUUGAGCUCUCCCUGGAUACGCCGCCCCUCGGUAGUUGAUGGCUCCGACAUCGAGCGGAGAAGUAUUGCCGCUGCAGCCAGGUUCUGGCCGACCCCACUAGAAGCCGGUGGCAGCCUUGCCCUGACAUCGUCGGCGAUGCGAUGCUGGAUGCCCUGGGGUAGAUGACGCGCUUCUCCGGCCGGAGGUUGGCCUGCCCAUUCCUGCCCGAUGUCCCGGCGGAACGACUCAAGUGUUCCUGCUCCCUCGUCGAGCCUGGCCUCUUGGUCGACGGGCAGUGACGAAGUCACGUCAGGGGCAGACUGCACCGUCGUCUCAGGUACGAGGGUGACGCCCAGCAAGUCUUUUGCGAGCGUACUGGCGUCGUCCGUCCGCUUGGAGUUGGCGUGUUGCGGGGAAACGGCGCUCGUCUUCGUCUCAAACGCGAAGUCGAUGCUCGACGUGUCCCCCGUUGGGGCGCCGGCGCCGUCGACUCGCUCGACAGCCGACGAGGUGCCGCCUCCUGCUUGGCCUUGGUUGCCCCACCUCCUCCUCCGUCGGCGGGGGAGGGGACGGGAUAAACCCGAAUGUUAUUCUUCAGCCACGUGGGGAAGACGUUGUCGAUUCCGCCGCCGACGGGUGGGUUGUCGGCCGCCAUUGUCGCUGUCGCGCGGCGGGGGAAGGAGUAUCAUGUCGUAGCUGCCGUCGACGGACAUGAACUCAAGACUCCCGAAACGGAGCACCGUCCCGGGCUGGAAAGGUUGCUGGAGACUACCCAUCUGGAGCUUGACGGGAAGUUGUUCGUCAACAUGCAGCAGACCCCUACCUGGCGCGCCAACUGUCGGCGUUUCGACCCCGGGGGGUCCCUGGACCGAUGAGUAAAUUGUCGCCGCGUGCCCCAGCCCAGAUGGGUCGGCGCGAGACGGAGCGCGAAGGGGGGAGAAAGCCGGAGGGAGACAAGCGUAAAAGGGGAAACCCACGGCCUUCGUGUUUGUCCCGCGCCCAGGUCGGGUGCGCUUGCAGUAGGGGGUUACAAGCGUCCGCGCGGGAGGGAGCGAGAGGCUUACGCGCGCGUCAUCCCGUCCUUCCCCGCGCGGCCAACCCUCUGUAAGAGGGCCCUGGACCUUCCUUUUAUAGGCGUAAGGAGGGGGUCCAGGUGUACAAUGGGAGGUGUAGCAGUGUGCUAACGUGUCUAGCAGAGAAGAGCUAGUGCCCUAAGUACAUGCCGUCGUGGCAGCCGGAGAGGUUUUGGCACCCUGUUCGUGUGGUGUCGUGGCCGUCGGAGGAGCGCGGGAGCCUGGCGGAAGGACAACUGUCGGGGCUGUCGAGUCCUUGCUGACGUCUCCUUGCUUCCGUAAGGGGGCUGAGAGCCACCGUCGUCAUGGAGCAUGCAGGGCGCCAUCAUUACUUGUUUACCGGGGCGAGCCAGAUGGGACGCCGGUCUUGUUCCUCGUAGCCUGAGUUAGCUUGGGGUAGGGUAAUGAUGGCCCCUCCUGUGACGUGGUCGGUCCGAGCCCUGGGUAGGGCGAGGCGGAGGCUCCUCCGAGGUCGAGGUCGAGUCUGUCUUUCGAGGUCGAGGUCGAGUCCGAGCCCUUGGGUCGGGCGAGACGGAGACCGUCAGCUGAGGUCGAGGUCGAGUCCGAGCUCUGGGUCGGGCGAGGCGGAGUUCGUCGUCUUCCGGGGCCGAGGCCGAGUCCGAGCCCUGGGUCGGGCGAGGCGGAGUUCGUCGUCUUCCGGGGCCGAGGCCGAGUCCGAGCCCUGGGUCGGGCGAGGCGGAGUUCGUCAUCUUCCGGGGCCGAGCCAGAGUCUGAGCCCUGGGUCGGGCGAGGCGGAGCUUCCUAUGGCGCCUGAGGCCGGACUUGGCCGCUGUCAGCUUCACUCUGUCGAGUGGCACAGCAGUCGGAGCGACGCGGGCGGCGCUGUCUUCUUGUCAGACUGGUCAGUGGAGCGGCGAAGUGACUGCGGUCACUUCGGCUCAGUCGACUGAAGGGCGUGCGUCAGGAUAAGGUGUCAGGCCACCUUUGCAUUAAAUGCUCCUGCGAUACGGUCGGUCGUCGUGGCGAUUUGGCCAAGGUUGCUUCUUGGUGAAGACUGGGCCUCGGGCGAGCCGAAGGUGUGUCCGUCGCUUGAGGGGGCCCUCGGGCGAGACGUGAAUCCUCCGGGGUCGGCUGCCCUUGCCCGAGGCUGGGCUCGGGCGAGGCGAGAUCGUGUCCCUUGGGUGGACCGAGCCUUGACUUAAUCGCACCCAUCAGGCCUUUGCAACUUUGUGCUGAUGGGGGUUACCAGCUGAGAUUUAGGAGUCUUGGGGUACUCCUAAUUAUGGUCCCCGACAGUUAUAUACAACAUUUAUGUUAUAGCAAAACAAGUAGAAGAGUGUGUUGUAAGUUGAGCAUUGGAAAAAUAGCAUGCAAAUUUAUAGAAUCAAUUUCCAUCUCUCACCCCAUGAAUUUAAGAUAGGCUUAUAUGAUAAUUUUGGAAAGGUAUGAAAUGUCACAUUCUAAAAAAAUAGCCUAUUCCAUUAGUAAGAUUCCAAUUCCUCAAAAUGAAAAGAAAUAAACGGGACCUUAGGGACAGCCACCUCUUAGAAACGUCUUACUAGUUUGUUUGAACUUUAUCGUCCUUGGAGACGUCUUACUGGUUUGUUUGAACUUUAUCGUCAGGUGUGUUCACGCGUAAAUUUGUCCUUGCUAAUGUUAAGAUAGGGGUAAUGCCCCAACUUUUUUCACAUAGAUACUUUGCAUGAAUUUAAUUGACAGAAUAUAAGGCUUCUCAGCUACGUCUUCCGGUUAUUCGACUAGAGCAGCUGAAUUCAGAAGGGACGAAGGACAUUCCCAAUUCAGAUUAAGCCGAAAUAUAACAGAUUGGUACAUCGUUUCAAAAUUUUAAAAGAUCAAUACGUCAAAGAAGAAUCACCUUUUGUAACCUGAGUGCCAAACAAUACAUUAUAACAAAGCCCCAAGUGCAAGAUCUAAGGUUCCUACUUUCAGAAUUCAGUAAAAAAAAAUCCUAAAACACAGGUAUGAUAGGUCGUUUCUUCCAGUCCAGAAAUAUUUUGUUGCUUGCCCCAUGCACAAGAUAUGUCCUAGUCUCUAAGACAGGCCACAGGGAAGUGUACUCCUUUUCUCAACCUCUUUCCAUUUCUUAGAAAUCUUCUUUAUCUUCGUCAUAUCUCAGACAACAGUUUUCUUUAUGCCAACAAAAAAUAUUCGCCCCUGUCGUGAUGUACAGCUCAACUACGACUUACUCCCUCUAAUACCAAAAUAAAAU